GUAGUAGGAGGAAUGUGAAGUGUUAUAGAUGUGGCAAAUCUAGUCAUAUUAAAAGAAAUUAUAGAGCCAAGUUGAAAGCUGGUAAUGUUGUUGAGAAUAAUGAUAAUGUUGAAGAAGAGGAGGAAGAGUGGGGCAAAUGUUUUAUGGCUGAUACCACAACAGUAGAUGCUUCGGCCUCGGUUAACCUUGAGGUUGAUUGGAU
rnacentral:misc_RNA from 1 species